rfam:Deltaproteobacteria bacterium GWA2_65_63 gwa2_scaffold_3608, whole genome shotgun sequence.
UCCGAAAACGGUAAACCCGUCGCGAGGCGGGGACACAAAGCCAACGGGUCCCAUGGGGACGGCCGGGCCGCCGGAG